UACGUAGGGUGCGAGCGUUGCCCGGAUUUAUUGGGCGUAAAGAGCUCGUAGGCGGCUUGUCACGUCGAUUGUGAAAGCUCGGGGCUUAACCCCGAGUCUGCAGUCGAUACGGGCUAGCUAGAGUGUGGUAGGGGAGAUCGGAAUUCCUGGUGUAGCGGUGAAAUGCGCAGAUAUCAGGAGGAACACCGAUGGCGAAGGCAGGUCUCUGGGCCACUACUGACGCUGAGAAGCGAAAGCAUGGGGAGCGAACAGG
rnacentral:rRNA from 1 species